AGUCCAUAGGGUCUCAGGUCAUGGCGGUCCCGGGGCCCAGUCCCAGGGCCCGAGCCCAGAGCUGGUGCCAGAGCAAUUGGUGAUCUACCAGGUUGGCUUGAUCCCCAGUCAGUACUAUGGGGUGCUGGGAAAAAAAGACUUGGAAGCAUUUAAGACUCUGACAUUCCUGGCUGUCAUGCUCAUUGUUCUGAACUCCACGGGCCGUGUGUACUACACUCUCAACGUGCUGCGGGAUGACAUCGAUAACCCGGACCAGCGCAUCAGCCAGGCUGUGGAGCGAUUCUGCCGGCAGCUCAGCAGCAUGGCCAGCAAGCUGAUCGUCUCCCCCUUCACCCUCGUCUACUACACUUACCAGUGCUUCCAAAACACAGGCUGGCUUGGGCCUAUGAGCAUCUUCGGAUAUUUCAUCCUGGGGACUCUGGUGAACAAAACUUUGAUGGGGCCCAUUGUGACGAAGCUGGUGCAUUAGGAGAAGCUGGAGGGAGAUUUUAGGUUCAAGCACAUGUAGAUUCGUGUGAAUGCUGAGCCUGCUGCUUUCCACAGAGCUGGGCAUGUAGAGCACAUGAGGACAGGCUGCAGAGACUCCUUCAGACCCAGAAGGAGCUGAUGUCCAAGGAGCUCUGGCUGUACAACGGCACCAACACCUUUGACUAUCUGGGCAGCAUCGUGAGUUACGUUGUCAUCGCAAUCCCCAUUUUCAGUGGGGUCUAUGGAGCCCUGAGUCCCGCAGAGCUUAGUAUCCUGGUCAGCAAGAAUGCCUUUGUGUGCAUCUACCUCAUCAGCUGCUUCACUCAGCUCAUCGACCUGUCCACAACGCUCUCCGAUGUGGCUGGCUACAUGCACGGGAUUGGGCAGCUUCGGGAGACGCUGCUGGACAUGUCCCUGAAGUCACAGGACUGCGAGAUCCUGGGCGAGAGAGAGUGGGGCUUGGACAAAGGCCCGGGGAUGGCCAGCAGCAGAGCCAGCAGUCAUGGCAUUUCUCCUUGAGCGGAUCUCCAUCUUUGCUCCCUCAUCUGAGAAACCCCUAAGCAAGGAUCUGAGCCUACAGAUCUCCGAGGGACAGAGCCUGCUCAUCACAGGCAACACGGGCACUGGCAAGACCUCCUUGCUCCGGGUUCUGGGCGGCCUCUGGACGAGCACACGGGGCUCAGUGCAGAUGCUGACGGACUUUGGGCCCCAUGGGGUGCUAUUCCUGCCACAAAAGCCAUUCUUUACUGAUGGGACCCUUUGGGAGCAGGUGAUAUAUCCCCUGAAGGAGAUUUACCCUGACUCAGGUUCCACUGAUAUGAGAGGAUCUUGAGAUUCUUGGAAUUGACAGGCCUGUCCAGCUUGGUGGCAAGGACAGAGGGUCUGGACCAGCAGGUGGAUUAGAACUGGUAUGAUGUUCUGUCCCCGGGGAAGAUGCAAUGGCUGUCCUUUGCCCGACUCUUUUACUUGCCGCCGAAGUACGCAGUGCUUGAUGAAGCCACCAGUACUCUGACAGAGGAGGUGGAGAGCGAGCUCUAUCGCAUCGGCCAGCAGCUGGGGAUGACGUUCAUCAAUGUGGGACAUCGACAGAGCCUUGAGAAGUUUCAUUCCUUGGUUCUGAAACUCUGUGGAGGAGGAAGAUGGGAACUGAUGAGAAUCAAAGAGGAAUGAAGCUCGAGCUUUUGGAAGGAGAGCCACACUCUGGUGGAUCGGCAGCCCUCAGAGAGACCAGGAGGCCUCACGGGGAAGAACGAGCCCAGGUUGGCCACAUAGGUCCCGUGCAGGAGCCCUGGCAGUGGUGGGCUUAGCCCACGUCUGGGUCUCUGGGGGGGACACUGAGCCUCCCAGGGUUCAGCCUCCCAGGACUCUACUGCCUCAGCCAGAGCUUCCAUAUACUUGAAGUGCUGAUUACCUACAAAUGAUUUCAGAUCAUGUUUGCUAAAGAGAAAUCUGGAGGUGUGAGAUCUGUAAGAAAAGAAAGGUCAGGUUGGAAAGAAAUCUCUUGGAGUUAAGACAUCUGGAAAUCUUUUAAUCAGUUAAAUUGUGCAGCAAUAGAUUUUUAACUUUAAUCAAAAGACCAUUUAAGUUUUUUUAUAUAAGCUUUUUACAAAGAAAAGCUAAACAUUAAAAAUAAUUGCAGCUUUUUCUCUUCUUUAUC